rnacentral:rRNA from 1 species
AUGGCCUCUGGCACUGUCCUCACCAAUGGAGGAGCCUCGCCUACGCUGCAGUGCUGCAGGGCGGUGGUCGGGGUGGUCCGCACCGGCGCCUACAAUGUGUGCCUCAUCCUAACUGGCAAAGUGAUCUUCAGCCUCCCCAUCAACUACACCCUCGGCAUCUCCCUUCCGAGGAUCUAUACAGCGACGCAGAUCCUAGCUCCAGAUAUCUUAAAUUCUCCUUUGUUGACCUUGCCUUGA